AGCCUCCGGGGCGCUUUCCCUUCCUCCGCUCGGAGUAGCCGUAGCUCCGAGAGGCUCCUGCCGCCGCUCGGUCCCAGCCCGACUUCUAAGAGAGUGGCGGGACGGGCGGAGGGAGUCCUGGGAGCGUGGGCGAGCACCGCCGCUCCAGGCGCCUGUAGUCACGGUUUUCGAGGCUCAUUCGUCGUCCCAGAGUGGAAGUGGCCGGAAUCGCCCUCUGAGUUGCUCUAACGCGAAACCGCCUGGACGUCACACGACUGUUAAUUUCCCUCCGAGCGAGGCCGGCUGAGUGUCGUCGGACCCAGCUUCGCGAGCCUGCGCCCCAAAGCGGAGUCCCUCCACGCCGACCGGGACGCCGGACCGGGACCGGACCGCGGUGCUUCUCCGGGCCCACUGCGUGUUUCUGUUUGAGAGACCACAACGUACAAUUAGAAGCAGACCGUCUGUUUUCUGUCGAACUUAGCAAGAAGAGGUGAACUUGGAAAGCGUAGGCUGGCUACGUGGCAUUCAUCAUUGGAGCCGUCGCAACUCCUCAUUGUACGGAGAGAGAAACCAAGCCCUGGAGACCGCAACGUGACCGGCCAAGAUGAUAGGAUUUCUGAGUUACCCCUUGAGGAUUGAACACUAGUUACUCAUCUGUCUCCCAGAAACAAAUCAUGGUAGCCUGGUGGGCUGGCCUCCAUACAUCCAUCCUGGCGACGUACUCAUACACACAAAGUAACAUGAGUUGCGGGGUAUUUCCUGAGGUAUUUGCAACAUUUUGGAAUUAAUCCUUUUUUGUAAACGUCUGGUAGAAUUCAGUGGUGAAGCCGUCUGGUGAAACCUGCCGUUUUCCCCGAGGGAAGCUCCUUUUUUAAAAUCGCUGGUUGAGCCUACAGCAGCUGCAUGUGCCGGCCGAGAGGUUGCCACUGUUUCUCGGAGGGAACUUUCCAACCCUCUGUGCCGCCACCACCACACGGGACUUGUCUAUCGGCAUUCGGGAGUGUCGCUAGUUUUCACUUUAGCCGUUCUGACGCACAGAAAUAACUCACUGGUUUUCUAAGACACUUGUCGCCGCCAUUGUUAUUGCACGUUUGGGGGGUGCGCACGCAGUCCUGCUGCAGCACGCGUGUGGAGGUCAGAGGGCGACUCCGAGGGACGGUGCUCUCCUUCCACCACGAGGAGCCUGUGGCUAGUUUGGAUCUCCAGGCUUGGCUGCCACAGGUGCCUUCGCCGGCCCCGUCUUCCCUAUCACUCCUGCAGUUUUGAUUUCUAUUUCCCUACUUGCUGAUAAGGCCAGAAUCUCGUUAAUAUUUGUUUGUGUGCAUGUAUCCUUUUUGGUAGAUGCCUUUCACUCAUGUUCUGAUUGGAUUUACUUUUGUGUUGCUGAGUUUUGAGCAUUCUUGAGACUCUAGGUACUAGUAUUUCUCCCAAUCUGUAGCCUGUUUUUCUAAGUUCACAAGACUUUCUCAGAGUAGCAUUUUCAGCUUUGAUGAAGCACAGUUUACACAUUUUUCCUUAAAUGAACUGACCUUAGCUUGUCUCACAUUAGAUCUAAAACAUUGUAUUUCGUGUAUUCUUAAGUGUUUAAUAUGUUGUACUUACAUCCGUGAUACAGUUUGAGUUAGGUUUUGCCUGAGCUCUUCUCGUCUUUAGAUGUCCAUGGGUCAGGUUUGCGCUCCACAAUGAACUGCUUUUGCACUUUUGCCAAAAUUCAGCUGGGAGAUGACAGGAUGCCGUGGUGACUAGAGGUGCCUUAAAAGACUGACAAGCCAAAUUCAUUCCCUCAUCCCAUGGAGGAGGAUAGAACUGAUUCCUAAAACUUGUCCUCUGACCUCCACCACUGUGGCACAUGUGUCCUGUACCUCUCUUCCACACACACAAAGUAACAACAAACACGCAACUAAAAUUUUAAAAAAUCAGCUUGGCAUAUUUGUGCCCCUACGUUUGGGCUCGCGGUUCCUGUCUUCCUAUGCGAUUCACAUGGUAUUGACGUUGUAGCCAUAAGACUCAGUUUGAAGCUAUUAGAGAGAGAGAGAGAGAGAGAGAGAGAGAGAGAAUGUGUGUGUGAGUGAGUGUGGUGUGUGUGUGUGUGUUUGUGUGUGUGAGUGUGGUGUGUGUGUGUAGAGAGAGAGAGUGAAAGCUCAGUGCUUCACAGCACUUCCUGCUCCUCCAGAGGACCUGGGUCAGUUCCCAGCCAUCUGUAAGUGUGGUUUCAGGGGAGCCACCUUCUGACCUCAGAGCCGUUCGUUAGACACACAUGUGCGUGUGUAGACACACAGGCAAAACACACAAAGCACAUCUAAACUUUAAAAAAAAGUAACUAGACUUA